AUGGCGGUGGUGGGAAUCUCCUAUUUUUUUCUAAAAAACAUCACUUGACAUGGACAUUAAGUAUAUAUGUUGAUUGAGUGGUAUACGCCAUUUAUUUGUAAAGCAAUCACAUUUAUGUCAUGGUCCGUGGUGAGCUGCCUGCCUGUAACCCUGUUUUCUUUUGAGCUAUGUCCACAGGUGGGCGUGUCUGAGAGCUACCAGCUGCAGCUGAUCCCGUCAUCAAGGCCCAGGGGAUUUAAGGAGCAGUGUGACACUUGACCACGCCGGAUGAUUACUCAGUUUGGGUUUCGCUCCACAUUCCAUCAUCUCCAGAACCAACCCGGACUCCUGCACUCCAGACCACACUGCCUCCUCCUCUGGCCGCCCGUUCUCAGCUGCUCACUUGCCCUCAUCAACCUCCGCUCCUACAUCACCUCUGGAUAAAACAGUUUUUCACCUUCUGGAUCUCCUCUGCUCACCCGGACUUGACCAAAGCUCUCCCUGUGCAUUCUACCGCUACCAGAAAAUGAACCUCCUCCUGGAAUCCUGCUACCAGGGCAGAGCAUCUUCUUUUCCCGUCACUCCUUUUUAGCUCCUCAUUUAAAAUAAAACCUUUUACACACUUACCUGCUUCCGUGAGUGAUUCUGCAUGUCGUGGGUCAAGAAAUUGCCACCCAACAUGACAAUUUAGGGGUUUUUUUCUCCUUCAAGUGCUCUCCUCUAUGGCAAGCCAAAUGAGCAUUUAUUCUGAUAUCAGGAUAUCAGCCAGAAUUGUCAUGAACAUGUAAGCCAUUUCUGUCCACUAGUUAACUAGUUAGCCAUGUUUGUGUCAACUAGUUAAAUAGUGACAGCCUAAAUGUCAACUAGUUAACUAGUAAGGCCUAAAUUCUCUCUAGUUAACUAGUUAAAAUGUUUCAUAUCUUACUAGUUAACUAGUAUUGCUCAGUGUGUUCACUAGUUAACUAGUGGACAGAUCAAUGUCCACUAGUUAACUAGUUAAAACACAUUUAGUUUUUACUAGUCAACUAGUAAGGUACAAAAACUCGUACUAGCUGACUACUGAAUGUAAAAAUCCCACUUGUUAACUUUGCCCAAUUUGGCCAGCCGCUUGAGCAUUAAUUCUGAUAUCUUGUCAACAGGUCAACUAGUUAACUAGUGAGGGUAAAACUGAACACGCUAGUUAACUAGUGAACACAUUUUGACCUUCACUAGUUAACUAGUUGACACAAAAAUGGCUCAUUAGUUAACUAGUAAAGGCCAAAAUGCAUACCAGUCAGCUAGUUGAAGGUAUUUGUGUCUCACUAGUUAACUAGUCAGGGUCAAAAUGAGCCCACCAGUUAACUAGUGGGAGACGGAAAUGUUCACUAGUUAACUAGUGACCACAUUUUGGCUUCACUAGUUAACUAGGUGACACAAAAUGGCUCACUAGUUAACUAGUAAAGGCCAAAAUGCAUACCAGUCAGCUAGUUGAAGGUUUUUGUGUCUCACUAGUUAACUAGUGAUGGCCAAAAUGUGCACACCAGUUAACUAGUGACAGAAGAAAUGCCCACUAGUUGACUAGUGAACACAUUUUGGCUUCCUAGUUAACUAGGUGACACAAAAAUGGCUCACUAGUUAACUAGUAAGGGCUAAAAUGCAUACCAGUCAGCUAGUUGAAGGUUUUUGUGUCUCACUGGUUAACUAGUGACAGUUCAAAGUGUCCACAUGUUCACUAGUGAACGCAAAACUCCUAACUAGUUAAGUAGUUGGAGUAGGGCAGUGCCACUAGUUAACUAGUGAACCAUUAAUGACUCACUAGCUAGCUAGUUGAUUGUAGCAGGCUCACUAGUUACCUAGUUGAUGCAUCCAUUGUCCAAACUAGUUAACUAGUGAGGACAUAAAUGUAUACUAGUAAACUAGUUCAAGCCUACAUUCACACUAGCUAGCUAGUUGCACAGAAUUCUAAUUAGGAGGCAGAGAAUUUCUCAAAUUGAGGCUUUCUAUUGGCUCACUAUGUUAAAAUAAAAUAUGACAACCAAUCACAGUGCGGAAUUUUGCAAAAUCCCACCCCAAACAUUUGCAUGCGGCACACAAGUUAACAUGCUGGCCAGAGGAACCUCAGCUAGUAAACUAGUAGUGGCUUCAGUGUGACACUUACAUGUAAACUUGUGAAGGCGGAACUGCUCACUAGUUAACUAGAGAGGGUACAAAUGUCCACUAGUUAACUAGUGAGGUGCAAAAUAAGUGUCACUAGUUCACUAGUGGGCCCCAAAACGCCCACAAGUUAACUAGUAAGGUGUGGAUAUGCUCACUAGUUAACUAGUGAGGUGCAGAUUUGCUCACUAGUUAACUAGUGCACCCUUAAGCGCCCACUAGUUAACUAGUAAGGUGCAAAAAAGCAUCACUAGUUAACUAGU